rnacentral:rRNA from 1 species
GAUGAACGCUAGCGAUAGGCUUAACACAUGCAAGUCGAGGGGCAGCGAGAUGUAGCAAUACGUCGUCGGCGACCGGCGAAUGGGUGAGUAACACGUAUGCAACUUACCUCUUAGUGGUGAAUAACUCGAUGAAAGUCGGACUAAUACACCAUACUCUCCUUAGAUCACAUGAGAAGAGGAGGAAAGAUUAAUCGCUAAGAGAUAGGCCUGCGUUCCAUUAGCUAGUUGGUAAGGUAAUGGCUUACCAAGGCAACGAUGGAUAGGGGGACUGAGAGGUUGACCCCCCACAUUGACACUGAGAUACGGGUCAAACUCCUACGGGAGGCAGCAGUGAGGAAUAUUGGUCAAUGGGCGAGAGCCUGAACCAGCCAAGUCGCGUGAAGGAAGA